ACAGAAAAUUGUUAACCCAGUUUAGCCAAUCUGCCUACUCUGGGGGAUACCAAUCCAGGAAGGAAAUCCACUAAUAGCUCUAGUCACUAAGACCUCCAGCAAACCCUUUGAAUUUACGUCUUACACUAAGACCUCCAGCAAACCCUCGGUUUACGUCUUACACUAAGACCUCCAGCAAAUCCUAGGUUUACGCCUUAUGACCUCGAGACUACUCAUGUAACUUCUGCCUAGGAACUCCUAGACAUGAGAUCCCAUCUCAC
rnacentral:lncRNA from 1 species